UGCGUUCUUUUAUUUUCUCUAUGCCAGUUUUUUCCAACAACUGGUAUCAGAGCUCUUGGUUUGAUUCAGGAGGAGGGAGUUUCGCUGUGAAGUUUAGGCUAGAGAAAAUUGAUGUUUGGCUUAUAGAAAAUCAAGUCAAGGAUGUGUUGAUGCAAUCAGGGUUACACAAGGUCAGCCUGGAGAGGCGGUGGUAAUAAUACUCAACAUCAGUCUGGAGAGGCGGUGGUAAUA
rnacentral:lncRNA from 1 species